CCGUGGAACCGCCGCUGAGGGGGCGCGGCCGCGGAGCUUUCAACUGUCACCUGAAGCGAGGCACGGUGUCACACGGAGGCACCGGCAAACCUCUGUGUCUGCCGGAGCCAAGAAAGGGCAAUUUAUUGCUGCAUGGGCCUUGGGAAGGAAGAAAACCAUCCUCAGAGCCUGGAAAAAGCAGGAAAAUAAAGUGUCAGGUUUGGAAAUGAACGCACACGAGGUGAGAGAAUCCAGGUGUGGUCACAUGCUGGGUACCUGGAGAGGUGCUGGGGGCAGCACAAGCUGUUCUCCUUCUUCCUUCACUUAUUUGUGCUGGGAAUUCUCUGUUCCUCGGGGGAACACAGAACUGCUGGAGAAAAUAACAAUAAAUGAUAUUGUCACA